CCUGUUUAACCCGUUUAGAUUGUAAUUGGGCUGCUGCCGUUCAUCUAAGAUCAGGUGGUUUAUAAUCACUAGGAGUUCUCACAAACCCUAGGUCCCUAAGCCUUUUCUAUUCCCCGUGCGCUGUGCAACCAUGCGGCCGUGUCGUGCGAGGGCUUGGAGUUGGAAGCACCGAGCACGCGAGUCCGAGAGGAGGGGAAGAUCGCCGCGGUUAGGAGGAGGGGAAGAAGAUCGCCCCGAGUCUGAGAGGAGGGGAAGACGAAGAUCACCGCGGUUAGGAGGAGGGGAAGAUCGCCGUGUUCUUCCGAUGAAGUGAGAGCUUCGUUACUUUUUUUCCUUCUUUGUGAAGUUGUUGCUCUUCUGGUCCUCGGUGUUCUCCGAUUCCGGCUUCUUUCUUCGGUCGAGUGAGAGCUUGGAACCCUAGGAUCGUCAGAUCGGACGGCGGAUCGGCCCAGAAAAUAGAGUUGAGAACCGUUUCUUGGAUAGGAGAGGUGGAAGCUCCUGGAAUUAGCUGGAUCUCUCUCAUUGCCGAAAGCAAUUCCAUUUACUUGGAUCUUAAAUAAGAUUAUCAUCUACCUCAUGUUUGUGAAUGUCUGCACUGUAAUACUAAUUUGGUAAAAGGUGUGCUUUUUGCCUGGCGCUGUUUGGAAUUUUCUGAGAUUUGGUAGCAUGAGCACAAGACGGGGUUUUAAUUUCUAUUUGAUAUUAUUUAAGUGUCAUACGGUAUUUUCUUGAGCAUACUGCUACCCCAAGGAUAGCACUAAAUCCUUUAGCUGACCUAUCAACUAUGUGAGAACAUUAUCUGUUGUUUGAUUUGAAGUACUGCUUUGUUUAUUCCUUGAGAGCUGAGAUCAAUGAAAUUCCAUACCGCUUUGUGGUUGCUGGUCGAUUUUUCUUCAACAUGCGUGGUCUUUGAAACUUGUAUUUGUGGAGGUUGGUUUUGUUGGUUGUUGUUAAAUUUGGCUCCUUUUUCCCCUGAGAAAGUUCUUAAGUUUGGCCUCUGGUUUAUUCUUUGUGUCUUGCAGAUAAUAUUAUAGUAGUAAUUCCCUCUGUGAAAUCUUUCCUUUUUCUCUGUCUUUUGGACCUCUUCCAUGCAUAGAUGUUGUUAAAGGAUUGCUCCUUAUUGCAUUAACAGAGACCAUCUCAAUUUUAUGGAUAAGUAUCGCCUUAGUUAUUGUUGUGUCUUGUUGUUUUUAUUUUUAUCUGUGUUGUUUUCUUGAUUCAUCGUGGUUAUACUGUUGUAAUUUAGGCUUGUUAUGCUGUUUGUUUGUUAUGCCAUUUGUGUCCCUCGGUCAAAUCAGUUUAACUUGUUAUGUUUGGUCACUUUGUUUCUAAGAUUCUGGUGUGGAUUACAUGCUAUGUGCUAGUGUCACUGGGGUAGGUUCUGUAUAUUACUGGUCCACUACAUUUCUUUCUUCUAUCAUAUUAUGUGAGUUGCUUCUGCUCAUAAAACAAACUAAACUGUGUUCCAUGGGUCUCUACUGCAUAUUGUUGUUUCAGCACUUUCUGUGCCUCUAAAUCUUAGGAUUUACAUUUGUUGCUUCACUAACCUCUCAUGUAUCUCAGAUGCCUUUCAUGAUUUUCAAAAGCUUUGGAUUAUAUUGACAAAAUUGUCCUUGUCUUUUCUCUAGGAUGCUUACGGGCAAAAAUUCUCAAGGUGAAAUUGUUGUUAACAUUGAAAGACUACUCAAGUGCUAUUUCAGAGACUGGAUACAUACUUAAACAAGAUGAAGAUAAUUUGGAGGCACUACUGCUUCGUGGCCAUUCUUAUUAUUAUCUCUCAGACCAUGAUGUUGCUACAUGGUUUGACUUAUGAAAAUUCCUAUACAGAAUUACAGACAUAUGUAAAAGGUUUCAAACCUUGUGUCAUAUGUGUACUCUUUUGCACUUUGCUGCAAUGAUGUUCUCCUUUUAUUUAAGCUGCAGUUAUUAGCUCAACUCUGCAGAUUAUCACUUCCAAACAUUUGCAAUGUCUAA